rnacentral:lncRNA from 12 species
GAGUGAACGUGACCUCGAUUGAGCUUGUACUGCAUAGAGAAAUGGUGGCUUUGGUACGUCACAUUUCCCGGAAGAUGAUUUCUCUGAGACGGUGUGUUGAUCUUGGCUUGACCACAUUCUGGCCCUUUCUGGUACUAGAGGAUUUAAAGAGAAAAGACGGCAGCAUCAGAAUAACCUUUGGACCCAGGGAAUUGAAUAAACUUUCCUGCUGGCUGCCUUUCCCUUCUCUGUGGGAGGCAUCCGCAGCUGCUAUUUCAGCAAGAAAUCCUUCCAGAAUAAGAGAGGCCUGACUGUCUAGCCAACACUGUCGUCUUCUAAGAGCCCAGCUGCUGGGCGGGGGUGAGCGAGGGAAUAAAUUUGGAAUGAUACACA